GUAUACGGAGAAACGGUCAAAAUAUCGUUUGAUAGUUGACACGCGAAUAUUGCAAACACGAAAAUCGUAUUGAUCAAAUACACGUGAAAAACGGAAUUAAUUGUUUACCUUUAUCGGGAGCCAAUGUUAAAUUUAGAUACGUGUACGUAUGUAUAUAUUAAUAAAGAAAGCAAUUGAUAUUGUGUUUUGUAUCGCGCAGUUAGUGCAGCUGCAGGAACGUCGCAAUGGGACUCGUGUUGUAUUCUUUUCUUUCCUUCGAGCAUAUUUAACCUGAAAAAGAUUUGAAGCAAAGAAAACAAUUGACGAUAGUAUUAAAGAGAUCACGAUUCCUCUGGCGUUCGUUGUUUAUUGAAUUUAACAGACGCAGAUCUGGGAUUACCGUGGUAUGUUCGCAUGCACGUUUAGCGUGUAAGGUCGCGCCAUAUUGUUUGCAUCACUGCUGCCUCCUGAACUAAAAACUUCUGGGGUUAGAACGUGAGUGUCGUCGGUUCGUUUGAGACUCUCGAUACUUGUGUGAAUUUAUCGAAAUUUCGAUCCCGUCUGCAUGGUUUCGCUGUUCGUUUUCUGGGAACAUCGAUUACCAGAUAACACGGUUUCUUUGUAACAGUCGUCGUUACUUCUUCGUGUACUCUUGGUAAACGACAUUUGAUCACGGAAAGAAUUUUUGGAAUAUGGCUGCUGCUGCUGCUGCUGCUCUGCUGGACGAGCUUAUGGGAAGAAAUCGGAACGUUCUUCCCAAUGAAAAACCCAAAGAACUCAAUUGGGAAGAUCCGGAGUUUUGUAAGUUGUAUUUAGUGAAAUUCUGCCCUCAUGACUUGUUCGUUAACACGAGGGCUGACUUGGGCGCGUGUUCCCGUGUUCAUGACGACGAGGCCAGGGAAUUGUUUGAGAAAGCACCGUACUCUUAUAGAAAACAACAGUACGAAGAUGAAUUCAUUAGAUUUUGUCAGAGUAUGUUGAACGAAGUGGAGAGGAAGAUUAUAAAGGGAAAGCAACGUUUAGCUCUUAUUGGGAGAACAGAGGCGCCUACUUUAACACCGGCACAGACACAAAGGAACGAAGAACAAAUUGCUCUGUUAACUGAGAAAAUUAACAAAUUAGUUGAAGAGGCGGAACAAAGUGGUAUACAAGGCAAUGUGGAACAGGCACAAGGCCUAAUGAGAUUAUGCGAUCAGUUAAAGGAAGAGCGAGAAACACUCAGAAAGUCUAAUGACAACAGUCAUUACAAUCAAACUGCUGAAUUGGCUGCUGCACAAGAGAAACAAAUGGAGGUGUGUGAUGUAUGUGGUGCAUUUCUUAUUGUUGGUGAUGCUCAGCAACGAAUUGAUGAUCAUUUAAUGGGUAAACAACACGUUGGAUAUGCCAGGUUAAAAAGUGCCCUUCAAGAAAUUAUGAGUAAACGUGAAAAAGCGCGAGACGAAAAAGAACAAAGAAGAGAAGAAGAUAGGAAACAAAGGGCGCGUGCUAAUGAAGAUCUCGAUAGACGAAGAAGAGACGGAGACAGAGAUAGAGAUAGAGAGAGAGAAAGGGAUAAACGGCGUAGACGCGAUGACGAUAAAGGCAGACAUGAUUCGGGCAGUCACAGAAAUUCUGGACAUAGAAGUAGAAGCAGAUCAAGAGAUAAACACGAUAGACAUCGAGAUGAUGACAAUCAUCGACGUCAUCGGGAUAAAGGAAGCCGUGAUCAUCGAAGUUCGAGUCAUCAUACUCGUCGUCGCCAUCGUUCUAGAAGUCGAAGUCACAAGUAACUACUCUUGAUUGGUUAGUGAGUGAGAAGUAAGCCAGGUAUGCACUAAACAAUAUACCAUAUUCGUCUCAAUUACUGUACAGGUUCUUUACCAGGUGAGUUUCAUUAGAUGCACAUAAUUUAUACAUGAUAAUUAUCUGUAAUUUUGAAGAAUGGCAUAGUCACAGCGAGCCAGUCUCUGGUCCUGCCUAUUAAUCGGAGAAACACUCUUACUAAAUUUCAUAUGGACCUGAUUGUACAGCGUUUAAUUUUCAAAGUGACGAGCUUGCUCUAUGUAUCAUAGUACUGAAAAAAGGUGCAUCGAGGUAAUGUCGAGAGCAAGGAGUAGUAAAAGUCGUUCCCAUACGAAAGGUAUUUUUAUCAUGUAGUAUUAUAGAUAUUGUCUACAGAGCAAGAUAGGAGAAGGUAUACCUAUGCUUGCUUUGAUCGGUUUAAUGUCUUCAUAGGGUAAAUCAAUUAUAUAAUUUCAACGACAGCAUAGCUUUUUUAUCGAAAAGAAAUUAGUGGUUUAGUGGAGGAAACAGUGCCUACUUCCGUAGACCUGCCACAACAGUGCCCUGUGUGACUGUGACUAUACAAUCCUAGCUUCUACUACGCAUUUCUGAGGUAUUUAUAUCGGAAUGAUAAUACCAAACAUGUCCUUUUAUUAGGAAAAUUAGACAUUUUGAAAACGGUGAUCUUUAUUUUGGAGCGAUACUUGAGUGCUUAAAGUUACGAUAACAAACUCCUGCUCUUACUUUCCUUAUUCCCUAAUUGCAAUUUAUUGGAGCAUAUUCAGUUUAAAGCUGAGCAAUCUGUCUACCAAUUGGUGAGGGAACUUACGUUAUGUAGGUCUAACGGAACAACUUUAAUAAUUUCAUUCGAAACGAUGAAUCCACAUGUAUAGUCCAGAGAUACGAGACCGUGCCGAUUUAAUAGCCGCCUGGCUAUCAUUGACGAAGCAAUCAGUAAAUUGGGCUUAUAAGUUGGCAUAUAUAGUCGCAAAUCGAUAAAUGUGUUUUCUUCUGAACUUCAUUCAGCGAAGUUCAUGAAAUACUUUAUCAUGUAUCAUGCAGAAUACUCUUCUUCCCUUUGCAUGCAUUUUUCUCCUCCAUUUUUAGUUCUGAGAGACAGGACAUGGGCGAAGCUCAGUCAAAUUUUUCUAAUUAGAAAAUCGUAAUCUUUUAGCAUCAUGGUACAUCGAUUUGAAGAUUGAUGACAGGUCACAUGGAAUCAUGUAUUAUAUAUGGUGCUCCGAGGAGAUCCCCCCAAAGUCGUAUCUUGUCUCAUUCUUUUUUGCCGUGUCCUUCAUUUCGGCUUGAUAGAAGACUCAUACUUUAUACGCGUACUACAUUUGUGUGAUUCGUGUUUGGCUCAUAAUAAAUCGUACAUACAUUAAAUAAUCUGCUUUUUGAAGCAACUAGAAGUAAAGACCAAAAUAUACAAAUAAUAGCUUUCAGUAAAAGAUCAUCUUGUAUUGUCACAUUGAGAAAAUAUAUUGAAUCAAUGUUUUAAUAAAUUAGUAUUUGUUACAGUUAUCUCAAUCAUAUUAAUAACUAAUAUCAACUUAUUCUUGAUGAUAACAUCGUUGAGCAUUGUCAUUUAAACCUUGCACACUCUGUAAACGUAAUCUUUUUGUUUCCAAUGUUACAACUGGAGAUGAUCAUUUUUAAUUUAUUAUCUGCUUUUCCACACAUGUAGCCGACAGAAGUAUGAUAUUUUUUUUUAAUUAUUUCGUGUAUUAAGGCAAGGUUAACAAAUAAUAUACAGAUACAUAUUAUCUAGGUGUUUGGUAACAAUCGAAAUUAAUAUCAGAAAAGAAGCCCAUAACAGAAGCAUAAUUUCUAAAAAAUGUAUUGUCUAUUUUCAGACAAAAGAGGACAUACCACGGGAGUGUAACCAAUGCAACAGGCUCACUUGCACACUGCUUAAUAUAAUAUUAAGCCUGUACAUGUAAGUUUGGGACAUCAAACUCGCAAACUCAUAAUGCAAAAGAACACAUGAGACACUAAAUGGUGGAUACAGCUCCACGUAUAUCAUCCCCCAUCCAGUACACCUCUUAUCAUUAGAGGUAUUUCUUACAGAAAUAUUUAAAUUAUUUUUAUUUUAUUCAAAAUGUUUUAUCAUAAAAAAUAAACAUUAUUUAAAGCCUUUAAAAUUCCAUUUCUAAUAAUUUUAUACUACCUCAAUAACAUAAGGCAGCAAAUUACCCCAUUAUUUUAUUGAAAUGUAAAAACCUCUGAUACAGUUGUAAUAAGAAUUAACUUAUAUUUUCAUUGUUAUCAUUUAUAUAACUGAAUAACUUAUAUAGUAGCAAAAAAAUUUCUGUUUCAAACUACAAAAACUGAAGUACUUACAGAUCCCACAGCCUCCAUGAUAAUGUAUAAAAUAUAUUGG